AUGUGCACCGUCGCAGCCACCCAUGCUAUAUGUGCCAUCGCACCAAUGUUCGAGUUGGUUUUAAAAAGGCAGAGGAACCAGAGAUUAAAUUGCCAACAUCCGCUGGAUCAUCGAGAAAGCAAGAGAGUUCCAGAAAAAAAAAUCUAUUUCUGCUUUAUUGACUAUGCCAAAGCCUUUGACUGUGUGGAUCACAAUAAACUGUGGAAAAUUCUGAAAGGGAUGGGAAUACCAGGUCACCUGACCUGCCCCUUGAGAAACCUAUAUGCAGGUCAGGAAGUAACAGUGAGAACUGGACGUGGAACAACAGACUGGUUCCAAAUAGGAAAAGGAGUACAUCAAGGCUGUAUAUUGUCACCCUGCUUAUUUAACUUAUAUGCAGAGUACAUCAUGAGAAACGCUGGGCUGGAAGAAGCACAAGCUAGAAUCAAGAUUGCUGGGAGAAAUAUCAAUAACCUCAGAUAUGCAGAUGACACCACCCUUAUGGCAGAAAGUGAAGAGGAACUAAAAAGCCUCUUGAUGAAAGUGAAAGAGGAGAGUGAAAAAGUUGGCUUAAAGCUCAACAUUCAGAAAACGAAGAUCAUGGCAUCUGGUCCCAUCACUUCAUGGGAAAUAGAUGGGGAAACAGUGGAAACAGUAUCAGACUUUAUUUUUCGGGGGUCCGAAAUCACUGCAGUUGGUGAUUGCAGACAUGAAAUUAAAAGACACUUACUCCUUGGAAGAAAAGUUAUGACCAACCUAGAUAGCAUAUUCAAAAGCAGAGACAUUACUUUGCCAACAAAGGUCCGUCUAGUCAAGGCUAUGGUUUUUCCUGUGGUCAUGUAUGGAUGUGAGAGUUGGACUAUGAAGAAGGCUAAGCACCGAAAAGUUGAUGUUUUUGAACUGUGGUGUUGGAGAAGACUCUUGAGAGUCCCUUGGACUACAAGGAGAUCCACCAAGUCCAUUCUGAAGGAGAUCAGCCCUGGGAUUUCUUUAGAAGGAAUGAUGCUAAAGCUGAAACUCCAGUACUUUGGCCACCUCAUGCGAAGAGUUGACUCUUGGAAAAGACUCUGA
rnacentral:lncRNA from 1 species